AGGAAACCGAGCAUGAAGAAAUGAAAUAACUUGCCCAGGAAGCAGCGGAACUGGUAGUCCCAGGCAGUCGGGCCCCAGAACCUGUGCUCAGAGCGAUUGACUUUUGCUCCGUGCCUGUGUCCAUCCAGGGUGAGUCCAGGGUUCUCUCGUGGAAUCCACAAUGCUGAAGAAGGGAGGGCUCCCUCCUUGACAGGUCGGCUCCAUUCUGAGGAUUUUCCUCAUGGCCACAAGAUGGUUGCCAGGAACAUCAAUUCACAUCCAACCUAAAAAAGGUGGAAGCAAAGAGCUCUGAGAUACUGGAGCCACCUGCUGAAUAAGCUCCGAUCCCUCAGUUACCGUGUGGAGGCAGGCCACCCAAGAGAUCAACUGGACCAGGCACACUGGACUUUGUAACAGCAAACCUUAGGCACAACUUAAAUGUCACCUGCUCAGAGACACCUUCCCUGAUCACACAGUGUGUAUUAGAUCCCCUUCCACCACCUCGUGAUUCUCCGUUACCACACCACAUCACCAUUACUGGUGAUCACGGCGACAAGCCCGAUCUACAACGUGGUAAUGUGCUGGUUACUUGGGAAGGGAGGGAUCUGACUUCCCCCUGGAACCUGAGGACAUGAGGACAAGCACCAUGGCUGCGUCAUGUAUUUCUGUCUCUCCGGCACCUGGCGCAAUAGCUGGCGCAUGCGCAAAGGUGAAAAAUAGACGAGUUGGAUGAAGGAGUAGGUGAGGAAUGGGCAGAAGGAGCAGGGUGUUUGCAGUCAGACACUGCUGGAUUGAAUUCUGGCUCCACCACCAGCUGUGAGUCAGCUUCACUCUCCAAACCCCCAUCUGCUCGUCUGUAAAAUGAACACAAGAAUCCCAUCUCCUGGGCUGGGGGAGGAUGAAGGACGACAGCAUAUGCAGAGCGCCAUCACGAUUCCCAGCACAGAACAGGCACCUGUAAGGCAUGCAUUGAAUAUCAAAUGCAGGGAUAAACACCCUUCCCUGUGUGCUGUCAUCUUGAGGGUGACCACUGGGAAGGAAGAUGGAGCUGGGGUGCCAGAGCCUGGUUCAUCCAGGCAGCUUCCCUCAAUGAUCCUAUUCUGUACCCUGCCUUCUCCUUUAAGACCGUGACCCUAGGUCCCUCCUGCCAAUGUCACAGGACCCAAGUUGGUGCCUGGCUUCCCUGCGCCCUGCCUCUCCCUUGCAGGAUCCAGGAGAGAUGUGAUGCAGCCAUCAUGAGGGUCCCUCUUGUGAGAUUCACAGCCCCUCCCCACACAUGCCUCCCACCCCCUGCCUCUAUCUGUGUCCAUCUAGACUACGCAGGAAAUGAAACUGGGCAGCAGGGUGUUUGCAAUAAGGAUCUCUGUGAUGCCCUGUGAUGUCUGUAAAAAGGAACGCGAUGAGGGGCCUCUUUCUUUCAAGUACAGUUUCAUAGCAGAUUUGGGGCCAUAAAGGAACUCGGAUUGUUUCUACCUCUGGAUGCAUGAAGAGCAGGGACGGCAGGCAGGACAUAGAGAAGGUGGUGACCUAGGGGAGAAACAGGUGCAGGAGCCCCAUCUUAUAGGAGAGGCAGGAGUGUGAGGUUGGGAGCUCCUGCACAGCCUCAGUGUGUCCCUGAGCCUCCUUUCCCUCAGCUGUAAGAUGAGGUGGCGGCAGGCCCCACGACGUUAGGUUAUUGUAAAAAUCUGAUGAGUUAAAACUUGUACAGCACCACUGGACAGUGGGCUGGCCAGUGACUUGCUUCCAAAGGGUUAAAGAUGCUUUACUGGUAGAGAAUCCUGCAAAUUGGGCCUUAGGCCAGGUGAUGAGUGACUUCAGCAGCAUCAUUGACAGUCUUCCUUAGCUGGCCUCCCAGCAGCCUGACCCGGAUGGGGGCAAAUGUACCGUACCCACCAACUUCCUUUUUGUCCCAUCUCUGCAGCCAGGCUAUCUGGCCACCUUUCUUUGGCACUUCUUAAUGAUGCCUCAGGCAGUUUGUAACCCCAGGCUCUCUGGAGUGGAGGGAGGCCUCAGAUUCCCUCCUCCCAGAUGGCACUAUGGAUCCACAAGUUGUCCUUUUUCGAGACCGGCAGUGGAGCCCGUUGGGGGUUGAAAUGGGUCCCCACCAUCAAAUGAUAUAUUGAAGUCUUAACCCCGGCAUCUCAAAAUGUGACCUUUUUUGGAAGUAGGGUCGUUAACAGAUGUAAUUAGUUAUGAUGAGGUCAUACUGAGAAAGCCAGGCCCCUCAUCCAAUAUGCCCAGCAUCCUUGUAAGACAGCCGUGUGAAGACAGAGACACAGGGAGAAUGCCGAGCAAAGAUGGAGGAUGGGAGUGAUGCAUCUACAAGCCAAGGGAUGCCAAAGAUUGCCAGCAAACCACCAGAAGCUGAGAAGAGGCAAGGAAGGAUUCUCCAACAGACUGCAGAGGCAGUGUGGCCCUGCUGGCACCUUUAUCUCAGACUUCCAGCCCCCAGAAAUGUGAGACAAUGUCUAUUGUUUUCCAACUACCAGGUUUGGGCCUGGGAAACUAACACAGGGCCAAAAGGAAGGGUCUGCUUUUCCCCACUUCAUGGCCUUCAACAUCCUGAGGGAUAUCCCACUCAAACAUUGCCCUCUGUGCUCCAUCCCUGGAGCCCCUCCCUCACUUGGCUUCAGGCUCCCCUGCCUCCUCUCAGCAGUGGGUCUGGUGGCGAGGAGUGCGGGAGGCGGUGGUGAGUUGAACAUAGUAAGGCAUCUUCUGCCUUUCCUCCUCAAAGCCACUGGGUUGAGGUUGGGGGCAACUGUCAGGACCCAGUGAUAGGUGGUUUUCUCCAGGCUAUAGAAUUCUUAGUACCUCGUGUUUUCAGCUGUGGACUCACCACCAAUUUCCCAGGCAGCAGGAAAAGUUCCAUUCACCGUCCUGUUAUUCCAGAUUUGAAAGCUCAGGUGGGCUCUCCAGGCCACCAUGAUCCUUGUCCAACCCCAGGGUGCACCUUCAGGCCUCCUGACAUUAACCUGGUCAGCCUCUUCUGCCUGCAAUAACCUAAUGACAGGUGCCUCCUGCAGAAAUAUUCUGGGGUCAGCUCUUGUAAAAAUUCCUCCCUUCCUCCACAGACUUAAACGGAUGAAUGAAUGAAUGAAUCAACGCAAAGCUAAUGCAGUCCCAAAUCCACCGAGGGAAGACAGUGUGAGGUUGUGGAACUAGGCUGCUUGGGUUCAAAUCCUGAGACCAAGAAUAGCUGGGUGACCUUGGUCAAGUUACUUUCUCUGUGUCUCAGUUUCCUCAUCUACAAAAUAAAGAUAACAACAGCACUUACUCUUGAGGUUGUUGUGGGGAUUCAAUGAAAUAUUGCCAACAGCAGAUUUUGUGCCUGAUGCCAAUAAAGGUUAGUUUCUUUGUUAACCGAGAUACAAGUCUCGGUAUCUUUCGGCCCCAUCCUGUGCCUGUGCUUAGAACCUAAUUUCCUAAUCUUCUUUCACACAUUGGGUUUGGCUAAUUCAUCCACUGCUGAGUAAUUCAUUAUCACAGACGGUGUUCUGGAGACAGAACAAAGGUUAAGAUGCUAUGGGCUGAACGCAUGGGGGAGAGACACAUUUUUAGUUUGAGGAAACAGGAUAUAUAGAAAAAUUGUACACAUGCCAAAGCUGGGACUGGAUGAAAUUAAACCUCUUGACUUAACUGCCAAUUAAAACAUUACAGGAGCAGCACAGGCUACAGCCUGCAACCAAGCUUCUA